rnacentral:lncRNA from 1 species
UUCAGACUCCUGAUUAAUGGCCAGGGACAUUCCAAGCUGCUUUGCCUACCUCAGCAGUACAGGACUGGUACGCAGGGUAAUAUCUAAUAACUAAUCUUUGACACAAGAAUUAAGUCAUUUUGCAAGAAAGCAGAUCAUUAGAAGCCAAAUUGAAUUAUAAGUAAUACUAUCUCUGUAGAGGAUUGUAAAUUAAUUGGUUUUUAACAAUAACAUUUCUGUGUUUUAUUAAAGCAGCCUAAGAAUUCGGUGAAGAAGGGAGCGCAGCAGACAAACAGGCCAGGUGCCGGCGAUGCAAAUGAAAUGGAUGACAGAUGGCGAGUAGCACGCUCACUCACUGCGCCUGUAUAAUGGAUAGAGAAGUAGCUCCUGUUCUGCUGGAUGUGUGUUCAGCUUCAACAUCUUGGCAAAGAGAUGAUGUCACCAGAGUCAUAAGGCAAGUGGCAGACCACCUGUUAAGCAUCCAGGCACAAGUCAAAACCAAGAGCCCUGAGUCUAAAAUGUUCCCUUUUUAAGUCUCAUGAUUCCAAUUUGAAGUUAUACUAUUUUCAACAAAACUCUUUUUUAUUACCAAAGCUCUAUGUUAAGGAUAAUCAAAUAUUGGAAGAUUUGGUGUUUUCAUACUUUCCUAUAAUUACUGCAUUUACCAUGGUACGUACUUCUGGAAACGGACAGCCUUGCAACCAAUAGAGAAUCCAAACACUCCUAAUCCUGUGCCAUGAAUGAACUAUAUAAAUAUUCUAAAUGAAAAAUAGAUGGGUACACAUUGCUUUUGUGAGUCUGUAUCAGAGUAACUGGAUUACAGGAAAUAUUCUGAACCGAACUCACCUUUCUUGUGGCCAGCCAAAACCAGGAUUCUGAUUUAUUGCAACUGUAAUGCUCAGUAUUAGCACCUUGUGCUCUUGCUGAAAAUUAAAUUUACUUAUAUCCCUCAGAUAUGCUCCCUCUCUGACAAUUUUGGCCUUUCUUUUGCACAGGAGAAAUUCUGCAACUGAGUUCCAAAGCCUCUCUUUCCUAAUGCAUCUGUAAACAGCUGCAGCUCCCUGUUCAAUAUUGGCUGCAGCUGCCAUAAUGCCCCAGAAGGACAACCAAAUGGAGAGAGCUCCCCUUAAUUGCCUUGCCACCCCCGAUUGAAUUUAUGUUUUGUUUUUAAGUAACAUUUUGUUGCAUUUGCAUUACUGAAAUUACCAGGUUACAGUAAACUAUAUUCCCAAAUCAAUGUCCCCCCAAAGAAAGCAGACAUGAACUUUAUCACCAACAACAAAUUCAAUUUUCACAUUACCUACUGACAAAGAAGCUUGUGCCAACAACACUUGCGGAUUCCUGAAAAGUCCGCCAAACUAGAGGAAAUCCACAAAUCUUAGGUUUUAUUAUCUCGUAGUUUUGCUUUCUAUUUAACUAUUGCUUUUCACCUAUAGGUAAAAACUAAGCUUCGCGUGCUUUGUUUUUAUUUCAAAAUCAGGUAGGGUGACACAUAAAGAUAAUCCCAACUGGAACCCUCAUGCAUUGCUGGUAGGAAUAUAAAAUGGUGCAGGCUUUAUGGAAAACCAUUUGGCAGUUCCUCAAAAAGCUAAACAUUAAAUUACCAUAUGAUCCACCAGUUCCACUCGUAGGUAAAUACCCAAAAGAAUUGUAAAAACAGGGACUCAAACACCAAUGCUCAUGGCAGCAUUAUUCAAAAUAGCCAAAAGGUGCAAACAACCCAAAUGUCCAUCAACAGAUGAAUGAAUAAACACAAUAUUGUAUGCA